GGAGAGUGAGUGGCCUGGGAAAACUUGUGCACCCAUAAUUCCUCUAACAUGUUAGGCUAGAACAUGAAGCCCAAAAUGUACAACUACUAAAGCCUGUUUAUAACAUUAAAAAGGUGAAUACAUGUGGGGGUAUCCACUAUCCACUCUGUAUUAAUCUUAUUAGGAUGCACCAGUGCUAGCUGUCUGAGGGCUGGAAGUGUACCCCUUCCUGGUGUGUCCCCAGACUCUGCUACACAUAGAAGUUCAAGAAUAUGAGUAAUGAUGGCCCUACCUGGUGGACAGCAGUUCACUAUCAGGUUAGCCUGAUUAUAUUAGGCAGACAAAGGGUUAAUUCAUUUGACCAAUGGCCAUGGGGGCAAUUCCUGUUGUUUUCUAGAGAGAUCAUCUCUAAAUAACCCCAAAGAGAGAUAGAUGUCAAUGCCUCACUGUGAUCAGAACUGCCCUGUCACUUCACAGCAAUUACACUGGACCCUAGAAUAUUCUGUCAUGCUGCAUCCUGACACCUCCCCAGUUAAAGUGUCCUGUAAGCUAGCAGGGGUUUGGGAAGGAAAAAGAGUUAUUAGAGUGUAUGUCCAAGUAAGUGGAACGUGCACAAUUAAAAUGCCUCCAACUUUCUAGGAACAAAUCUACCUAGAAAAUCAAUCACACCCACAAAAAUAUUUCCAGCAUUCUAACUUACAUAUCCUAAUUGAUGAGAUGAUUGUCUGGUUUUACUUACACUGAGAAGAUCUAUUUCCUCCCCAGAGGGUAAUCUAUUCUUUGUCUUAUGCCAAGAAACCCAUAAGAAAAAUGCUGACCUAUGAAGGUUACACAUCAUGCUUAAUCACUACUUUAAAUUAAAAUAACAUAAAAUAAAGCAUUCAUUGGGCCACUUAGACGGAACAUAACUUCCCAAAAGCAACAGACACACCUACUGAGACACUUGAAAUGUCUGAGGAGUCUGGUUCCCAGCUGUGUAUCAAGAGCCAAACCAUGACAUCAGGCCUUGAACUGCUCUGGAGAAACUCAGGGCAGGGCCAUCAUAGCAAGCUGUGCCUGCCAAUCAGAGAUUUCCCAAGAGUUGUCUUAGCAUUUCAGUACACCAAACUCUAACUAAUAGAAGCCAAGGUUUGCAAAGACCACAGUGAUGAAUCCCCUCUCUUCCCCACGCUCCAGUCAUGACCUUGGGGUGGAAUACCUGCUACUUUCCAGUGUUCCAAGAGCUCUCUUCUCAAAAACUGCUUAAAGUAGGGUUAUGCAGCCACCCUGAGAAGACUAAACAAAUGGCCAUGAGAAAAAUUACCGCUGAAAAGGGUUCUUAGUAAAAGAAUCUCAACAAAUAAAAUAGGCUUUCUCCAUAA